GAGCUAAAGAUCAAGAUGAGGACCAAGAUGAGGAUCAAGACCAUAACACUGAAGAUGGCAGCGAGCAGUGCAGAGACCUCGCUGGAGAAAAAUGAAUUUACUCCUAAUAUCAGCAGCACCAUGCCUCCGAGACCAGAGGUGACGUACAACUGGAUCAAUAUAACUUCAGAGUUCUUCCACGCUACUAAAGACCUGCAGCUGGGAGAACUUCUGCAUGAUGACAUCUUUGGGUUGUUUGAGGCCAUGUCUGCCAUAGAGAUGAUGGACCCCAAGAUGGAUGCUGGCAUGAUGUGCAACAGAGGGAAGAAGGUUCUCAAUUUUGAUCAGGCUGUGAAGGCUGGUGCUCUGAAGCUCAACAACCUUACCAUGGAGGAACUUGUUGGGAUCAUGGACUCAAUGCUGGCCUGCCUUGUCACCUGGCUGGAAGGACACUCAGCAGCCCAGACCAUCCUUACCUGCCUCUACCUGCACAAGCCUCUUAGCAUUGAGGACAGAGCACUGAGAGCAUUCUCCAUACAGACUCUGAAGCUCAUUGCCAUAAUUAACAAUGUUGUUCAUAGUGCUGGUGUGUUUGAAGAGGAGGACUUCCAGCCAGCCUUAUAUGGAUAUGGGGUGUGCUCCGAGGUGUCUGAGGUGCGGGCAGGAGGCAUGAUGAGGGAGGUGGAAGAGGAGCUACAGAGGGCAGUCAAGGCCACAAGGAACAGACAAGGAGAGCCAUGGGAUCCCAAGAUGCAGAAACAGCACGAAGAUGCAGUGGCACUCUUCUCAAGAAUACGCUUCAUGCGGCUGUUCUAUGCUGCACUGGCUGCCAUAAUGAGAAGAGAGCCUGUGUCCAUCCCUGAGGCAGAGAGGUGCUUGGCGUCGUGCAAUGAGCUGGUUUGUAUAAUGCAGAACACCAUUGGUCGAGGGCUGAAACCCAAGCAAGCCAAAGACGAAGAAGGCAAUAAAGUGGACUACCCAGUAAUCAUGGGGUUUGAGCCUCUCGUCAACCAGCGCCUCCUGCCGCCCACCUUCCCCCGCUACACUCGGCUGAGGACACGCAAGGAGGCCAUGAACUACCUGGAGGAAAUGGUGGCCCGCCUGCGUCACAUCACCAAGAUCACCCACUGCACUAGCUUCCACUCAGCUCUGGAAUUUAUUGAGAAUUUUUCUGAGACUCGACCUUGUGUGUUGUCUCGGUCCCUGGCACAAGUCCUGUACCUGGGUGGGGAGAAGCUGUGGGGUGGCCAGGCAAUGGCAGAGGCCCUUAGAGAGGCUGCCAGAGGAUUUAUAUGUCCCCCUGCUCUCCUGCCUAAAGCACCAGUAAUGAACAAUACUCAGGCCAGAGACUAUGUUGACUCGUUCUUCAACCGAUGUGUGCGUCCCUUUGAGCAGCUGGUCCAGACGUGUGGCCACAACCGGGCACGUCAGAGGGAUAAAGUGGCCCAUCUCUUAGAAGAGUUUGCAAUGCUGCAGGAUGAAGCUGAUAAAGUGGAUGCAUACCUACAUAAUGUCUUGUUGAAGAGUGACCAGCCAAGGCCUCAUUUAGCCUACCUGGGCACCUGGGUCUUGUAUCACACACUAAGGCUGAUGAUCAAGUACCUGCUGACAGGAUUCACCUUGGAGCUUUAUGCUGUACAUGAGUAUCACUAUGUCUACUGGUAUCUCUAUGAGUUUGUGUACGUAUGGCUGGUGAGUGCAUUGUCCAGAGCGGAUGCAAUGCUGCUGGAACAGGACGGCUACGACACAAACAGAGGGGGAAAGAGUGGACGUUCAUCGAAAAACAAAAAUAGAAACAGAAAAAAGCAUCGACCAUAUGGAAAGGAAAUCACGUACAACCAGGCUCUCCAGCAUCUGUGUGGAGGAUAUUAUAAGGCAAUGUUGGGUUUGAGAGAGGCAGGGAAAGUCAAGUUACCACUUCAGGAGUUUGACAGUGAGCAGGUCCGUUACGAGCACCGGUUCCUGCCGUUCAGCGUGGUGAUGACUCCGCCACCAGUGCACUAUGACCAGUUCCUCUCCAUGACCGACCUCUCAAACUUCUCGCAGCCAGUGUCACCAGCCACACUCUUCCAUGACGCAAGGAAUCACUUCUUCAAGGCACGUUCUCUUCUUGAAACUAUACAUGCCCCAAGUACUGAGGUUCAGCAGCUGCUGAAAGUUGUGAAGACGAACUUUGUUGUCAUGAAACUCCUUGAAGGCGGCCACAAGGCUGACGACCCCACUCGCCCUCAGUUUGACUUCACCACUCACCCGUGCUUUCCCAUCAUCAAGAUUUAGCAGAAAGUUGUUAGGAAGCGAGUUCCGAAGGAGCUCCUUCCUAUCAAUGAGACAGAAGAAGUCUGAGAACAACAGUACCUCAGAUAUUUGGAAGAAUUAAGGAAACUGACUAAAGACUAAGAAGAAAUAUUCACAUCAUGAAAGACAUAACUUAACCUACCAUAUCUAACUACAUACGAAAGUGGUAUGAGACUGCUCUGUGGAAGUAGAAUGCCACACUGUAUAGUCAGAGCUAAGAACACAUGCCUGAGGGGACCAACAGCUGUACAAGGGCAAUGAAAACCCUUCACACUACAGCACUACAGCAGGUAAAGCUCAGACAUCUAGUUGCAUCCCAAACUCAUUUGUCCUUAGCUUUAAUAAUGGGACUUAAAGCUUUGAUCUGUCAGGACAUGGGCAGCCAGUCAGCCAAGAUCAUUGAGUUGCUGUUGCUGGAGAAUAUGCUAACAUGCUGUACCUAUCUUGAGCCAAGACAAGCAGCAGUGAAAAAGCAUGAAUUGUGGCCAGUUAUUUGUGCACAUCUGCAGUAGAGGAACACCUGUAAUCAAGUGAAAUGUGCUCUCUCAUGCCCAGUGUAAUAUGCACCUUGUAUGUGUAAUUUAAUAUAUACAGUAGUAUUUGUAUAAAAUGUGUGAUUGGAGAAUACUAUACUCUCUGCAGGAUAAAAUGUAUGUUCUCACUGAAAAAUCUUUGUUGUUUACAUUGAAGGGAAAUAUCAACUCAGCGGCAAGAGAGAAUUGAUCAUUUGAAGUCAGUACUGGCAGUUCAGUAAUGGAUAUCAAAACCAGUCAUCUGAAACAAAGCUGCUGACUUCUUCAGUGUAUGGUGUUGACUAUUUAUUCAUGGAAAUAUCUAGUACUUAUAAGUUAUUGUGCUUAUUUAUUUAUUUUUCCACUGAUAUUCAGCUGUGAUAUAAUCCAUCACACCAUACAUUGUUUUUAAUAGUAAAGUAAAUAUUUCCCAACACAUUAAGUUGUAUUCCAUGUUUUAAUUACUUCACUUUCUAAAAGCAUUUGAACUUAAGGGUAAUAUAUCUAUUUUACUGUAACAUAUGUUUUUGACUUCAUUGAUCAUGUAAUACACUGUCUUGACAUUAUAUCAAUGGUUACUGCCUACUAAUUUUGUUUCUUAAUAUCAGUCAGUUCCAAGAAGAGCUCAUACAGCAUCAAAACACAGGACUUAUCUGUGCUUACCAUUGAUGAAGAUACCUGAUCUCUGAUGUGUAACUGUAUCCUUCUGCAUAAUGCAAUGUUAGAUUUGAGAUAUAAGGUGGCAAUAUCAGUGUUCCUUCAUCAGUUAUCAGGAUGAAAGUAUUCCCAGAGAAGCUGCUUUCGGCACCAGAAUGUGUGAGGAAAGAGGGAAUCCUUCAGUCACCACAUAUUUCUUACAAAGCCUAAGGUGUGCAGUGUUUGUGUAGGCAUUUGUGUUGGACUAUUAGAAUGUUGGAAUCUCAUAUCAAGACCAUGUAUUGCAGCUGCAGUAGAAAAGGUGACAGUGAUGGUGAACAUUUAGAGGAAUUCUGCAUGAAGUGACAGGCAAGAAGUCUUGUACAGUAAAACCACCAUAAAUUGGCAUGAUAUUGGCUUGGCCUCCAUCAUUUUAUAGAAAUUCUUACUCAUGAAAAGUGCCUCUACAAGCCUUUGGAAACCCCUCCGACAGGUAAGGACCUUUUUAUUUAUAUUUCUUUGUCUUCAGAUUCAUCCCUUUUUUCCUUCUCGAAUUUUAUGCUCCACCUUGCUCUUAAGACUUGGCACUGAGAAGGGCUGCUGGCUCUGGUGUUGGUUUUGGUUGAAGGUUGGGAGGUCCAGUCUUUGCAAGGACAUUCAUCUCUUGUGGUCUUAUUUAUGGUUCCUCUUUGUGGUCUGAUAUGCUGUCCUAUUUCUCUCAAAUAUCACCUAAUUUUCCUUAUAUUUCUUCUUUUGGUGCUACUUAUGUCAAAAAGAUUACCAAUAAUGUGAUCUUCAUUUUCAACAUACAGUCUUUAAAUGUUUUUAAUUCCGAUUUAUAAAUGUCAUGGAGGUUUUAGUGCAUUUAGUAUCGUUGUGUAGAAAGCUUUUCUUCCAUAUAUUACAUAAUACAGAGAACAAUAUGCAACCUGAUCUUUCAUCAUGUAGUUCAUCGUUCAGUCAUACUUGAAGUGUGCAUCACAUACGAGGUUGUGUUAAGUUGUGUUGGGUCAGAUAGUAAUGCCUUUCCACUUUGUGUUUGUCCCAUCUAGCUUCAAUCGUGUGUCAAUUCAUAGAAAAUGUUGCCCAUACAGAUAUACUAAGCAUGUCACUAAAGAACUGAAUAACUUUGAAAUUAAGCUGAUGUACUAGAGAACUUAAGAAAGUAAGGAGAGUUGAAAAGGCCAAAUUACAGACAGCACCUCCUCAGGCUGAGCUUUGAUGUCACGUAUAGAACUAAAUGAAGAGUGACACUUCUAUUUUCAACAAUUAUGUGACUAAGAAUUCACUCGGCAUUGUAAAGGAAAUUAAACCACUUUAACAUUCCCUUAUGUAGAAAGUGCUGUAUGCUAGAUAUACAAUAUCCUCAACUGCUUAGUGUAUUAUAGACAACAAUUUUCAGUAUGUCUUGCUUGCUUAAUUGUUGAAAUGCUGAGAGGCAGGAGAGUAUUGGAAGAAGCACAGUGAGGUGGAUGGAUGUGCAAUGCUGCUGUUGGAGUUAGCAAGGGAGGGAAUCAAGAAGUAGACUGUAAAUUUAGAGCCUUAUCAAAAUAAUAAUCGAAAUAGCAAUGGUGACAAGUUGAAAAUUAUAGUGAUUUUGUCCUUGUCUGGUGGUGAUUGAACUCCAUGUCACCUGUUUGCAUUCACUUUCAUUGCUUGUCACCAGAUGGCAGAGUGUAUGUUCGGAAAAACAAUGAACAUGAGUGAAAAGAGAUCAUGUAAGCAACUGUAUUUCCUUGCUCUGUUCUAGAAUGAAAGUAAUUGUUGAUAUUAUUUUUGCUGUUAUUAUUAUUAUUAUUAUUAUUGUUGUUGUUGCUAUUAUUAUUAUUAUUAUUAUUAUUAUUAUUAUUAUUAUUAUUAUUAUUAUUAUUAUUAUUAUUAUUAUUAUUAUUAUUGUUGUUGUUGUUCUUGUUAUUAUUGCUAAUGUAAAUUUAGUUUUUAUUAUUUUGUAGAACACAUUUUGUAUUUGAAAACAAGGACAGACUUGAGCCAUUAUUUACAAAGCAAUGGCAUUUGUCUUUCAUAUUUUCUUUCAAACACUAAAACACAGUACUUUUCUGCUACCUUCUGUAUUAUUUUUUUUAUCAUGAAUAUAGCACUACAUAUGAAUACAAAAUUAAGUUGAUUUAAGGCUCAAAGUAAACGUCCUUUCGUUGAAUAUAAAACAGGAAAAAAUCUACCGAAUGAAGAGACCACAGUUGAGUGUAGUGAAAGUAUAGAGACGUAUUUAUUCAUCACCACAAAGGAAGAGGAGAAAGAAACGAAGGUGAAGUUCCUCUGCAGCAUUUCACUCUGCUAAUGGGUAUAACGAGAUCCUUCAGUGCCAUAAGUAUCAUUGCGUCCGUUCACAACUAGCAUAAGUGGGUUGUUGCCAGCCUGCACACAGAAUGUCAUCCAGUCCCCCAGGAGCUGGAACAGGUGUUAUCUAUUGCCUGAGGUUGCCUGGUACAAAUACACUAAAAUUUUGUAAUGACGUAGGAAGCAGACUGUUCGUACUAGUGUUUUGUAACAUGAUGCUUUACUGCUGUUGUAUAAAGUAACUAACCUGUGUAUGUAUGUAGUUUUAGUUUGCAAAUUUUAUGAAUUGUAUCUUAGGCUGAUAAAAAUACUAGAGGAUUCUGUCUAAUAGUAAAGUGUAGCUGCUGACUGACUGCACACCAAAGUAUAAGAGUAAAAAUGAUGAAUAGGGAAGCAUGAGAUGAAGGAAUGGUCACUACAUAUCACUCAAUGAAUAACAGUGCAUUUAGACAAUUGAAAUGAGAGAUGUGUGUACGUUGUGGAGGACUUCAAACAGCAACAGAUCCUUUGAUUCUCACUAGGCCAUUUGAUUACCUGGUGUGUGUGUUUGCUCUACUGUAAGCCAUUCACGUAUGUUUCAGGGGAAGGCCAGUUCUUUAUAUCCAAAAACUCACUCUUAGGUUGUAUAAAGGAAACAUUCAUUGAUAUAUAUGCAGUCAUUGGCAACAAAUUGUACCCACUAAAGGAAAGAUUUAUUUGCUGUAAACAGUAGUGGUAUGAAAGGUGAAGGCAUACUAUUUUGAUUUUCUCCUUUUAUAAUGGUGAAGAGUUCAUUAAAUGUGAGGCUUGCUGGAAAUGCCUUCAGUGUUUGUUACAGUCAUUAUUUACUUUAUCAAGAGCUUACUGUAUUUUUAAACACUGAACAUGGAGGUUUUUGAACAGUUAAAAAAUCUUCCUCUUUCUUCUGUAUGUGUAAUGAUAAAAAAGCAGAAGUGGCACUUUUUAUUCCUAUCUUUAGUGUGUGGUUAUUUUCUCAAUUUUCCCCGAAAUACUAUCUUACAUAUGCUAGAAAAAAGCAAUUUUGUAAAGAAUGAGAAGGAAGAAUAGUGAUAGAAAAAAUUGCAGCUUUGUUUUAUGCAGCAUUGUGGUGUUUAUUGUACAGGAAAGACAUGACAAAGAUAAGAGUUCAUUAUUUAUAAUUAUAUAGUGGUUUAAGCUUCUUUAAGUUAUUCAGUAAUUUUUAAUCAGUAUUAUUUUGCUUAUCAGCUCUUGAUAUUGUGAUACUGAAAGAUAGAUGAAGCUGUACUGACCUCUGGCAUGCUUAGUGAACAGCCACAAUGCUUUAUCUAUUACUUCUAACAUUGUAAUAUCCUUUCUUGUUCAAACCUAACCUCAUAUGAACAUCACUAUAUCAGCCUUAGAGCCAUAUAGUCAGUUUCUUGGCUCAGUGCCUGAAACCUACUCUAACAAAUUCAGUCUGCCUCCAGAUCAGUCAUGCUAUUAUGUCAGCAUGCUGUGGAAGAUGAGAGUAAGAACUGGAGUAGUGUUAUUUACUAGAUAUUCCCUUUGUAAGAUUUUCAUGGUAUCACUAUCAAAUCAAAAGGUUAGUGACAGUGAGCAUGAACAAGAAGUAGAGCAUCUCAUGUGUUCUGUCUUGCCAUAUGUGUUCUAAUUUCUGACUCACUCCAAGAGAGAGAGCAUUACUGUAAUAACAUUAAGUGGACUUCAUUAGUACUUGAUUUCUCUGUCUAGUUUAUGCAGGGCUACUAUUGAUUUUCCGGCAGUCACCAAUUGAGCAUUAGAACUGCUAUGGACUGACUUAUGUACUUACAAGGCUGGUGGGGACAGGUAGCUCUGUGUUAAUGCUUGCCUAAUGGCCUAACGGUUUUUUAUUUGAUUGUCUCAGUGCAGUUUCUCAUUGGGAAAGAUUGUGCCCUCUUGUAACCCUUGUUGGCACUGUUCAAUCUCAUUCUUACAGUGCUCUAACUCAAUUUGACCCCAGAAUGUAGUACAUGGGAGGUUUUAAAAACCUUUCUAUGCUCUCUCAUGUGUAUACUCAAGAUCUGAACUGCUGCUAUGGCUCUUAUGGUAUUGCUAAUGUACUGCUUGCUGUAAAAUCUGUGAAUGUACUAGAUCUGUACUGUGUUUUGUGUUUCUCAUCUUGUACCUGUUAUCACUAAUCUUGGUAGUCUCAAAGGAAGAUGCUAUUGUCUGUCAUCUUCCAUGGAUUUUAGUUGGAUGUUGAUUUGAGUAAGAAAAAGCCACAUAGUGAGCUUAGAAGAAUGUAAAAGCACUGUCAUGUAGGUGAGAAAAUAUGGAAAGACAAUGUGAUACUUCUUGUCACACUGAUGCUGCCACUAACACAACAUUGACUCUGCCAUGACACCCCAUGACGACACACUAUGAAUGUCUGUAAACAGUGUCACAUUUUUCACUGAACUUCCUUCAUUUCACCUUCGAUUUGCUGAUUGACCUGUGUUCUCAUCAUUUCUACACCCAUGCUUUACCACACACCAGCAGGCCUCUCCAGGUGGAUGCAGCUUGUGGUGGAGCAACAGUUCAUUGCUUUUCCCAGUAAUUUGAUGAUCUUCCUCUGAGAAUAUGAGGUGUAUGCAAAGAUCAUUUCACUUCUUAUAAUUAGAUAUGAGACUUGUUUGAAUUUUAAUUGUAUCCAAUGUGUGCUGUAUCAGAAUUUAUCAUAUUGAGGAUUUUCUUUAUUUCUGCUGCACCCUUUCCCGUCCUACACCACUAGCUCAUCUGUUUAUUUCCUGUAGACACAUCUUUUCUCUUACCACGGUGCUCUACAUGUAAAUAUGUAUGCCAUGUAUGUACUGCAUAAUUGUACUGAAAUGUGUGUGAUAGUAUUUCUGUGCAUGUAAUGAAUAUCUGUUUCCAGAGUGUGCAGUUCAGAAGAUGGAUGAAUGUUGUACAUACUAACCAUCUGUGAUGCAGCAGACUUACUGACUUUGUACUGAAUGAAGGUUGAAAGGUCCCCAAAAUGAUCUUUGAAACCUGAUGAUCAUUUGGUCCCAAUGUCUAAGGCACUGUACUUCCAUGUCAGGGGUUCAAUCCUGUCCAGGGCGCCUCUCAUGGCUAAGGAUAUAACUCCCGCCUUCAGAUCAAUUUCUUGGUGUUUCUGUGACGCUCCAAAAGGGGUAGUGACAUUGAUGCUGUUCCAAAGAGUGCCGGAAAAUUGAUGGUUAGCUGGUAUAAGUUAUUGAGUUUCCAAGGAAGCCUAAAGUAGCCUAAGUUGUCACUGGCUGAGUAACAUGCUACACUCACUUCAGCAUGUUAAGCACUUUCCUUCACUGUCUUGCUCUGUGAUCUGCCCAGAAUGCACCGGUGGUCAGGUUGUACAAGGAGACUGUCAUCAGAUCAGAGGAUGUAUACUGAGGGAAGCCACUGAAUGCUGGAAGUGAGUACAGCAGGUAACUUGAGUUGUGAUAAUGACUGCAUUGCUUAUAACUUCUGUCUGUUACCUGAAACCAAAGCAUAAUUAUAGCUCGUAUGAAUAUAAGGAUGUUGUACAUUGCUUUGUCAGGGAUGUACAUAUGAUAUUUAUGAAUUUAACUCAUACUGCAAAAUGUUAAUGUAACCCAGAAACAAGUGCUCUUGAUAUUUAAGUGUAAAUCCAAAUAGAUGUGAUAUAGAUAUAA
rnacentral:misc_RNA from 1 species